CCUACGGGUGGCAGCAGUGGGGAAUAUUGCGCAAUGGGCGAAAGCCUGACGCAGCGACGCCGCGUGAGGGAUGAAGGUCUUCGGAUCGGAAACCUCUGUCAGUAGGGAAGAACGGUCACUGUGCUAAUCAGCAGUGAAUUGACGGUACCUGCAAAGGAAGCACCGGCUAACUCCGUGCCAGCAGCCGCGGUAAUACGGAGGGUGCGAGCGUUAAUCGGAUUUACUGGGCGUAAAGCGCUCGUAGGUGGUAUGUCAAGUCAAGGGUGAAAUCCCCGGGCUCAACGUGGGAACUGCCUUUGAUACUGGCAAACUGGAGUGUGGGAGAGGAUGGUGGAAUUCGAGGUGUAGGAGUGAAAUGCGUAGAUAUCUGGAAGAACAUCAGUGGCGAAGGCGACUAUCUGGCACAUAACUGACGCUGAGGAGCGAAAGCGUGGGUAGCAAACAGGAUUAGAUACCCUUGUAGUC
rnacentral:rRNA from 1 species